UACGGAGGAGGCAAGCGUUAUCCGGAAUUAUUGGGCGUAAAGCGUCCGCAGGUGGCACUUCAAGUCUGUCGUCAAAGACUGGGGCUUAACCCUGGAAAGGCGGUGGAAACUGAAGCGCUAGAGUGCGGUAGAGGGUGGUGGAAUUCCCGGUGUAGCAGUGAAAUGCGUAGAGAUCGGGAGGAACAUCUGUGGCGAAGGCGGCCACCUGGACCAGCACUGACACUGAGGCACGAAAGCGUGGGGAGCAAACAGG
rnacentral:rRNA from 1 species